rnacentral:rRNA from 1 species
AGCGAACGCUGGCGGUAGGCCUAACACAUGCAAGUCGAACGAACCUUUCGGGGUUAGUGGCGGACGGGUGAGUAACACGUGGGAACGUGCCUUUAGGUUCGGAAUAACUCAGGGAAACUUGUGCUAAUACCGAAUGUGCCCUUCGGGGGAAAGAUUUAUCGCCUUUAGAGCGGCCCGCGUCUGAUUAGCUAGUUGGUUGAGGUAAUGGCUCACCAAGGCGACGAUCAGUAGCUGGUCUGAGAGGAUGAUCAGCCACAUUGGGACUGAGACACGGCCCAAACUCCUACGGGAGGCAGCAGUGGGGAAUCUUGCGCAAUGGGCGAAAGCCUGACGCAGCCAUGCCGCGUGAAUGAUGAAGGUCUUAGGAUUGUAAAAUUCUUUCACCGGGGACGAUAAUGACGGUACCCGGAGAAGAAGCCCCGGCUAACUUCGUG